AUUGAACGCUGGCGGUAUGCUUAACACAUGCAAGUCGAACGGUAGCAGGCCUUCGGGCGCUGACGAGUGGCGGACGGGUGAGUAACGCGUAGGAAUCUGCCUCAUAGUGGGGGACAACGUGGGGAAACUCACGCUAAUACCGCAUACGCCCUACGGGGGAAAGCGGGGGAUCUUCGGACCUCGCGCUAUGAGAUGAGCCUGCGUUAGAUUAGCUAGUUGGUAGGGUAAAGGCCUACCAAGGCGACGAUCUAUAGCUGGUCUGAGAGGACGAUCAGCCACACUGGGACUGAGACACGGCCCAGACUCCUACGGGAGGCAGCAGUGGGGAAUAUUGGACAAUGGGCGCAAGCCUGAUCCAGCAAUACCGCGUGUGUGAAGAAGGCCUUAGGGUUGUAAAGCACUUUCAAUUGGGAGGAAAACCUGUCGGUCAAUACCCGGCAGCUUGACAUUACCUUUAGAAGAAGCACCGGCUAACUCCGUG
rnacentral:rRNA from 1 species